rnacentral:rRNA from 1 species
GACGAACGCUGGCGGCGUGCUUAACACAUGCAAGUCGAACGGAAAGGCCCUGCUUGCAGGGUGCUCGAGUGGCGAACGGGUGAGUAACACGUGGGUGAUCUGCCCCUUACUUUGGGAUAAGCCUGGGAAACUGGGUCUAAUACUGGAUAGGACCAUGCUGUAGGUGGUGUGGUGGAAAGAUUAGUUUCGGUAAGGGAUGAGCUCGCGGCCUAUCAGCUUGUUGGUGGGGUAAUGGCCUACCAAGGCGUCGACGGGUAGCCGGCCUGAGAGGGUGGACGGCCACAUUGGGACUGAGAUACGGCCCAGACGCCUACGGGAGGCAGCAGUGGGGAAUAUUGCAGAAUGGGCGCAAGCCUGAUGCAGCGACGCCGCGUGGGGGAUGACGGCCUUCGGGUUGUAAACUCCUUUCAGCCAUGACGAAGCCCUUGUGGUGACGGUAGUGGUAGAAGAAGCACCGGCUAACUACGUG